rnacentral:rRNA from 1 species
AACGUUACNNNNNNNUUGCCUCGGCGGGAUCUUCUGCCCCGGGUGCGUCGCAGCCCCGGACCAAGGCGCCCGCCGGAGGAAUCAACCAAAACUCUUAUUGUAUACCCCCUCGCGGGUUUUUUUUUAUAAUCUGAGCCUUCUCGGCGCCUCUCGUAGGCGUUUCGAAAAUGAAUCAAAACUUUCAACAACGGAUCUCUUGGUUCUGGCAUCGAUGAAGAACGCAGCGAAAUGCGAUAAGUAAUGUGAAUUGCAGAAUUCAGUGAAUCAUCGAAUCUUUGAACGCACAUUGCGCCCGCCAGUAUUCUGGCGGGCAUGCCUGUCCGAGCGUCAUUUCAACCCUCGAACCCCUCCGGGGGGUCGGCGUUGGGGAUCGGCCUUCCUUCACGGGGGCCGUCUCCGAAAUACAGUGGCGGUCUCGCCGCAGCCUCUCCUGCGCAGUAGUUUGCACACUCGCAUCGGGAGCGCGGCGCGUCCACAGCCGUUAAACACCCAACUUUCUGAAAUGUUGACCUCGGAUCAGGUAGGAAUACCCGCUGAACUUA